CCUACGGGAGGCAGCAGUGGGGGAUAUUGCACAAUGGGGGGAACCCUGAUGCAGCGACGCCGCGUGGGUGAAGGAGUGCUUCGGCAUGUAAAGCCCUAUCGGCAGGGAAGAAGCAAGACGGUACCUGACUAAGAAGCCCCGGCUAACUACGUGCCAGCAGCCGCGGUAAUACGUAGGGGGCGAGCGUUAUCCGGAUUCACUGGGUGUAAAGGGAGCGUAGACGGCCAUGCAAGCCAGGGGUGAAAGCCCGGGGCCCAACCCCGGGACUGCCCUUGGGAAUGUGCGGCUAGAGUGCGGGAGGGGCAGGCGGAAUUCCUGGUGUAGCGGUGAAAUGCGUAGAUAUCAGGAGGAACACCGGCGGCGAAGGCGGCCUGCUGGACUGCGACUGACGUUGAGGCUCGAAAGCGUGGGGAGCGAACAGGAUUAGAUACCCGGGUAGUC
rnacentral:rRNA from 1 species